UGGCUCAGCCAAUCCAUGUGCAUCUAUAGAUAGAUUCUUAACCAAUUAUUUAUCUAAAUAAUUUUUAGUAAUAAUUUUGCCCCAGGCUCUUCUUCAGUAGGUGUUGGCACCUCCAUUGAAAGUUUCGGUUAAGUCCAACCAUUAACAUGGACAUAUUCAGUGAAUCUAACUAAUGAAUGAUCAGGCCCAAGUAAAUUCUAGCCAAUCUAACCAUUCAUCAAAUAGUACAGUAGAGUCAUCAUAUAAUGAAUGAUAAUUUCAAUAUCCAGAUAAACACC
rnacentral:lncRNA from 1 species